rnacentral:rRNA from 1 species
UAGCCAUGCCGCGUGAGCGAUGAAGGCCUUAGGGUUGUAAAGCUCUUUCGUGGGGGAAGAUAAUGACUGUACCCCAAGAAGAAGCCCCGGCUAACUCCGUGCCAGCAGCCGCGGUAAUA